UACAGAGGGUGCUAGCGUUAAUCGGAUUUACUGGGCGUAAAGCGUGUGUAGGCGGUUCGUUAAGUCGGGUGUGAAAUCCCCGGGCUCAACCUGGGAAUUGCGAUGGAGACUGCAAGGCUAGAAUCUGGCAGAGGGGGGUAGAAUUCCACGUGUAGCAGUGAAAUGCGUAGAUAUGUGGAGGAACACCGAUGGCGAAGGCAGCCCCCUGGGUCAAGAUUGACGCUCAUGCACGAAAGCGUGGGGAGCAAACAGG
rnacentral:rRNA from 1 species